UACGUAGGGCGCAAGCGUUGUCCGGAAUUAUUGGGCGUAAAGAGCUCGUAGGCGGCUUGUCACGUCGGAUGUGAAAGUCCGGGGCUCAACUCCGGAUCUGCGGUGGGUACGGGCAGACUAGAGUGAUGUAGGGGAGACUGGAAUUCCUGGUGUAGCGGUGAAAUGCGCAGAUAUCAGGAGGAACACCGAUGGCGAAGGCAGGUCUCUGGGCAUUAACUGACGCUGAGGAGCGAAAGCAUGGGGAGCGAACAGG
rnacentral:rRNA from 1 species